AUUGAACGCUGGCGGCAGGCCUAACACAUGCAAGUCGAGCGGAUGAAGGGAGCUUGCUCCUGGAUUCAGCGGCGGACGGGUGAGUAAUGCCUAGGAAUCUGCCUGGUAGUGGGGGAUAACGUCCGGAAACGGGCGCUAAUACCGCAUACGUCCUGAGGGAGAAAGUGGGGGAUCUUCGGACCUCACGCUAUCAGAUGAGACUAGGUCGGAUUAGCUAGUUGGUGGGGUAAAGGCCUACCAAGGCGACGAUCCGUAACUGGUCUGAGAGGAUGAUCAGUCACACUGGAACUGAGACACGGUCCAGACUCCUACGGGAGGCAGCAGUGGGGAAUAUUGGGCAAUGGGCGAAAGCCUGAUCCAGCCAUGCCGCGUGUGUGAAGAAGGUCUUCGGAUUGUAAAGCACUGUAAGUUGGGAGGAAGGGCAGUAAGUUAAUACCUUGCUGUUUUGACGUUACCAACAGAAUAAGCACCGGCUAACUUCGUG
rnacentral:rRNA from 1 species